UACGUAGGUGGCAAGCGUUGUCCGGAUUUACUGGGCGUAAAGAGCGCGCAGGCGGUUGGAUAAGUCGAAUGUGAAAGCCCCCGGCUCAACUGGGGAGGGUCAUUCGAUACUGUCUAACUUGAAGGCAGGAGAGGGCAGCAGAAUUCCCGGUGUAGUGGUGAAAUGCGUAGAUAUCGGGAGGAAUACCAGUGGCGAAGGCGGCUGCCUGGCCUGUUCUUGACGCUGAGGCGCGAAAGCUAGGGGAGCAAACGGG
rnacentral:rRNA from 1 species